GACAGAGGGUGCAAACGUUGUUCGGAAUUACUGGGCGUAAAGGGCUCGUAGGCGGCCAACUAAGUCGGACGUGAAAUCCCUCGGCUUAACCGGGGAACUGCGUCCGAUACUGGAUGGCUUGAGAUUGGGAGAGGGAUGCGGAAUUCCAGGUGUAGCGGUGAAAUGCGUAGAUAUCUGGAGGAACACCGGUGGCGAAGGCGGCAUCCUGGACCAACACUGACGCUGAUGAGCGAAAGCCAGGGGAGCAAACGGG
rnacentral:rRNA from 1 species